AACGAACGCUGGUGGUAUGCUUAACACAUGCAAGUCGAACGAGCACGACCUAGCCUGCUAGGUACGGCUAGUGGCAGACGGGUGAGUAAUACAUAGGAAUCUACCCAGUAGUAAGGAAUAACUUAUGGAAACAUAAGCUAAUACUGUAUACUACCGAUUUAUCGGGAAAGGCUUCGGCCGCUAUUGGAUGAGCUUAUGCCAGAUUAGCUAGUUGGUAGGGUAAAGGCCUACCAAGGCUGUGAUCUGUAGCUGGUUUGAGAGAAUGAUCAGCCACACUGGGACUGCGACACGGCCCAGACUCCUACGGGAGGCAGCAGUGAGGAAUUUUGGACAAUGGGCGAAAGCCUGAUCCAGCAAUACCACGUGAGUGAUGAAGGCCUUCGGGUUGUAAAGCUCUUUUAGUAGGGAAGAUAGUGACGGUACCUACAGAAAAAGCACCGGCUAAUUCCGUGCCAGCCGCCGCGGUAA
rnacentral:rRNA from 1 species